GAUCUCCCAGGGCUGCAAGCCUUUAAAAGAAGCAGGAUCUCCUUUUUCAGGGUUUUUGUGUCAACACAGCUCUAUGUCUUGCUGCACCAGGUGAAGCAGGUUAGCAGAGGUGCUGGGAGUUGAAGCAGUAUGUAUUUGUGGAGGCACAGUCACUCAGUGAUGCCCAGUGCUGCAGUAGCUUUGGAAAGAUUUGGAGCUUCAGAGGCUGCUGUUUCCCUGAGAUGAUUCAGGGUGAAGUGGUGGAAUUCCCUGCAAGACCCUGAUGCCUGCUGGCUGGCAUGAGAAGGACCUACACAUCUGGGAAAUGGAGUUCCAGGUUCAAUUGCUCUCCACUUUAAAGGCAAGAUCCUGAACAUUCCACAUUGCUGACCCUGGAUUUUAUUUUUUUCUUUUUCAUUGUAUAUGACAUUGGACCAGAGGUAUAUUUGCCUGACUUCCCACUCUCACUGUCUCACUAGCUGAACUAUAGACAUGAGUUCAUAACCCUUAUUUAGAACAAGUGGAUUUGAGCUUUGAACAGAAAUUCCUCACAUACCAAGAGACUUCGCAGGUGAAGGUUUAUUCUGCAGUGCAGCAGAUUGCUUGUGAAAAUAGUUUGAAAAAACUUCUGCUCUUCUAUAAUGAACUGAGGAGGAGUUUCCAACCAUUGGAAGCUCCAGAGUGGAGCUCUAGAAAAGCCUUCUGAAAGGACAGGUGGACCAAAGAGUUCAUCUGUUUCAGAGUUUCAUCCUUACACAAUAUCAAAAAAGAUCUAAUACUAUGUUUUUAUAAACACACUUAUUGAACCAUACCUUAUUUUGCACAUUGGCUUAUUUUGGAUAAAAACAACAACAACAACAAAAAAAAACACUGUUGUCUCUUCCUAGUCUUUCUGACCACAAAGCAUAAAAAGUCAUUAUGUUGUUUAUUAUUAGUAUUUUUUUUUCUUUGAAACCAGCUGUGCUGUGUCAAUUAUCUGUUUUGUAAUAUGCUUAUAAG